rnacentral:misc_RNA from 1 species
GAUGAAGAACGUAGUGAAAUGCGAUAAGUAGUGUGAAUUGCAGAAUUCAGUGAAUCAUCGAAUCUUUGAACGCACAUUGCGCCCUUUGGUAUUCCAAAGGGCAUGCCUGUUCGAGCGUCAUUUGUACCCUCAAGCUUUGCUUGGUGUUGGGCGUCUUGUCUCUAGCUUUGCUGGAGACUCGCCUUAAAGUAAUUGGCAGCCGGCCUACUGGUUUCGGAGCGCAGCACAAGUCGCACUCUCUAUCAGCAAAGGUCUAGCAUCCAUUAAGCCUUUUUUUCAACUUUUGACCUCGAAUCAGGUAGGAAUACCCGCUGAACUUAAGCAUAUCAAUACGGAGGA